rnacentral:sRNA from 1 species
ACAUCGAGCCGCCUUCGUCGGUGUGGAGCGAAAGCGGGUAUUGGACCUUGCC